rnacentral:tRNA from 1 species
GCGGGCGUGGCGGAACCGGUAGACGCAGCGGACUUAAAAUCCGCUUUCCACACAGAAGUGCGGGUUCGAGUCCCGCCGCCCGCACCA